rnacentral:lncRNA from 1 species
ACUUCUAGGUAUGAGUUGUUUUUUUUUAAAAAAAAAAAAGUCAGUUGUUUGUAACUGACUUAUGAUCGUAGAACUUCGUGCCUUAAAACAGAAACAAUUUAUUAUUUUUCACAACUGUGUCAGUUGAAUAGGUAAUCCUCUGCUUAAUAUGAUAUGAUCUGAAGUGCUGGGGGAGCUUAAAAGUCUAAAAUGUUCUCACUUACCUAACAGCAGAGAUGGUGCUGGCUAUAAACUCAGUUUGAUCUGUUGGCUGGGGCUUUGGUUCUCCUCCAUGUAGAACUCUACAUGUGGCUGGUUUGGU